CUGGAACUCCAAGAGUCACUAACAGAACCUAGAGACUUCUGAAGGUUCUUGGCAUCUUUCUCUAACGCCUUCAACAGCUGAGCAGGAACUUCUUGUGGCUGACUGACAACAAUGCGAUCCACACACUCCAAUUCCUGACUCACCACAGUGGACAGAUCUUUUAAUUCCCUGUCUAGCACCUGAGGAAACAGAGCAGCUGACAUGUAGAAGUAAUGUGCCUCAAGGGAAAACUACCAAAAGGAUGACUCUUUCCAUUCAAAUUCUAAGGAGAAAGAACCAAAGAAUAUAAAAAGACCCGAAAAUAGUCUUCCCACCCAGCUGUUCUAUAAUAUUCUUACUUCUCAAUAGAGAAGCCAGCAGUGGCAGAGGAAGAGUAUAACUGUUUUGGGGGGGCAUAGCCUCACUAACCAGUCAGCCAUCUAUUUAUACCGCAUACUGAACAUUGAAAAAUGAGACAGACUUCUGCAGGCUCGAUUGUCUUCACCUUCAUCUUCAAUCUCAGUCUUUUCCUUCAGUUUCUGUAAGGCAGUGUUUCCUGGUGUUCUUUGAACAACUGAAAUAGGACUGGGGAUAUGCGUCAGUAGGUAAGUAAGAGCACUUGUUUGAGGAAGCAUGAAGGCCUGAGUUCAAAUCCUAUAGUCCCAUAUAAAAAGCUGGGCAUGGCAUGAACACAUGCAACCCUAGUAUUGCAGAGAGAUGAAGAGGAUUGCUGGGGUUUGCUGGUCGGCAUCCUAGUUCCAGGUUCAGUGAAAGACCUUUCUGAAGGGUGUAAGAUGAAGGAUGAUAAAGCGGGACAAUGAAAUAAAUCUCUGUGGCCCACUUGUGAGUACACUCAGGUGUAUAUACCC